AUGGAAACCUUAAAACCUGAGAAUAAAAAGAGGGUCCUUCCGUCAUGGAUGACAGCUCAGGUGACCAAGAAGAGAGUGGUACCAGUGAAGGCCCCAAAGAGGAGGAGAAUGGCAGCAGAGGUGGUGGCAGCAGCAAGGUGCGAUACCCUUUGGUCAGAGGGCUCCUGGGGCAAAUCAAAAGUGGAACAAGGGGCUCCCAAGCUGGGUGAGGUCUUCUUGUGUGGACAGAACAGCCAGGUACGUGGGCAGUUCAGCUGGACAAUCCCUGGAGCUCUUAGGAGGGCAGGAGGCAAAGUGAGUCGUCCCCUCCCAGACAGGCACCCGUUUCUGCCUCUUGGUGUGUGCUCUGCUGUCAGGCCCGCGGUUGUCAGCACACAGAUGGUGCGUUCCACACAUCAGCCACGCUCUCAGGCCAGAUAUCCAAAAUGCCAGGCUCUUCCUUUGCGUCAAAAUUGUAACAUCAAGUGAGCAAAUCCGUGGCCCAGAGUCAGGUCUUCUGUUCUCCUGUGGGCAUGUCUUUAGAGACACAAGGUUGCUGAGAAAUCAGCGGCUGGGGGGUAGGUUGGUGGAGGGGUGACAAGCACAGGGCUGUUGGGUCUUCAGUCUACCAGCAUCCCUGGGGAAGGACAUUGCUGCCGCCUUCCUAGCAGGGCACUGGGCACUCGGCUCCCCUCUCUGACCCUCCUUUUCUGAGGUUUCUUAAUUGACCAGGCCUCUGUUUGUGACUGCUGCAGUCCCCCGAAUGUGUUAAUGCAUCCAGGCAUGUUUCAUUCCAGUCUCAGCCUCUGGUCUGCUUGCUCUCAGAGUCAACUGUCAUUUCCUAGUUCCCUUAUUAUGGCCGAGUUGGCAGAGGGAGGGAAGCCCCCAGUGUUCCCUCCAAGUACCACCAUGCUGGUUACUGGGCUGCAAGGAUGAGGAUGCUCCUCAGCUUGGGGAUGGUCGUGUCCUCAUCCUGGUGGGAAAGCACCGGGAGAAAAACCUUCCUCUCAUCUUGCUCUCAUUUUCCUCCUUGUGAGAGCUGAGACCCUCUGUCCCCUGGGUGGCUUCGUGUUUCUGUUCUAGGUCCCCUGCAGUGAAGACUGUGUACUGCCUGAAUGAAGCUGAACUAGUCGAUGUUGCUCUGGGGAUCCUGACUGAGAGACAGAGUCUCACUUUAUGGCCCUCAGUAGAGUGCCAUGGCAUCACACAGCUCACAGCAACCUCCAACUCCUGGGCUUAAGCGAUUCUCCUACCUCAGCCUCCCCAGUAGCUGGGACUACAGGCGCCCGCCACAACGCCCGGCUAUUUUUUGGUUGCAGUUAGGCCGGGGUUGGGUUUUAACCUGCCACCCUCGGUAUAUGGGGCCGGUGCCUUACUGACUGAGCCACAGGUGCCACCGAUAAAAUUAACUAUUAGGUGCUAAUAUGAACUAGUAACUCUGAAACUGCGUACCAGUGAGUGAAAUGAAAUGAUAUAGAGGAGUUAGAAAUAUAUACCUAUACUUUAAAACAUUAUUCAAAGUUAUAAUGCACAUAGUUUUGAAAGAGUCAAACAGUUCUUCAGUUUGUCAUGAGAAUCAGCAGUCCCUGAUCCCAAAUUCUUCCUUUCUUCUCAUUCUGAGGCAAGCACUUUCAACUGCUUUAGCUGAUUCUUUAGGCAUCUGCCUCUGUUUUUUGAAUUACAUGCUUGGAUUGGUACUUCUUGGUUUUUCAGUUUUGGGCAUAAUCUACUGACUAUAUAGAGGGAAGGUUUAGCUUUUGUCUUCCCAACUCCAUGUUGCACAAGUUUGCUUCCUAGCUCACUCCUCCGUCUGAAUUGGUUACAUUAUCCUUUUGUUUAGAUCAAUAUUCAGCAUUUAGAAUGCUUGACAGGGAUGCUUCGUUUUAUUGUGCUUCACUUCAUUGCACUCAGCAGCUGCUGCAGUUUCUACAACCUAU